GAACUGCGAUAAGUAAUGUGAAUUGCAGAAUUCAGUGAAUCAUCGAGUCUUUGAACGCACAUUGCGCCCCCUGGCAUUCCGGGGGGCAUGCCUGUCCGAGCGUCAUUGCUGCCCUUCAAGCCCGGCUUGUGUGUUGGGUCGUCGUCCCCUCCGGGGGACGGGCCCGAAAGGCAGCGGCGGCACCGCGUCCGGUCCUCGAGCGUAUUGGGCUUUGUCACCCGCUCGAUAAGGACCGGCCGGGCGCCAGCCGGCGUCUCCAACCUUUUUUUCUCAGGUUGACCUCGGAUCAGGUAGGGAUACCCGCUGAACUUAAGC
rnacentral:misc_RNA from 1 species